AUUUAUGCGUUUGUAAGUACAGUUAUUAUGUUUCCAUCUGGGAUUGUGACUGUUAAAAUGAUUUUUAAAAUGUUCAUUGCUCAAACAGGAAUUAAUGGGCAGAUACAUUUGCAUGAUGAGAUUUUAAUAAUUAGGCUGAUUGGCUAUUGAAUCAACUGUUCCAAAAUGAAAUAUAUUUGAAGCCAUUCUGAACAUUUAAAAUGGGACAGCAAUAGACAAGUUGCCAAAACGACUCUCUGAAGUGGCCUCAGAACUGCAAAUGAAGAUGACACAGACAGUGUUCAUGACAGAUGUAAAUCAAACACUUGGUGCUAUGAUAUCCUACCCUAACCCCGCCGGAAAAAAAAAAAAAAAGGAAGAAAUUUUGUAUUAAAGAUUUACUCUGAAAGACUAAAGAAAAUCUGAUCCAUUGGUGUGCUGGUGUGCUUACCAAACUUAGCUGCUCAGUCACCUGGCAAGAGACUGUCUGGAGAAAAUGUUAGUAGCCAGCAGCCACACCCUGGAGAAUUUGCAAGAAGCAGGUUGCUUCAGGAUAUUCUAGAAGGAUAUUUGCUUCAAGAGAAAACGGCUGCAGAAGCACAACAGCAACAAUUCUAAAACCUGAACAUGCAUCAGAAUGACCUAGACUCCAUUUAAAAACAAAGACAGCCUGGACCCACACUCAGAAUUCCUGUUUCUGUGGAUCAGGGAUGGAGCCUGACUCUGCG